rnacentral:lncRNA from 1 species
GAGGCAGAGGAAGAUGAUGUUGAAGGGGAUUCCUGAUGAGAUUUCCCGAGCACUUGAGUAAUGCAAAGCAGAUCAUUCAGUUGCGUCUCAAGAACCCAGCAAAAGUCAGACUGGGGCAUUACAAAUGUAAUGUAAAAAAAAAAGAAAAAAAAAAGAGAGAAGAGGGUGAAAAAUCAAAAUGCAAUGAAAAAUCAGGAAAAUUUUUUCAAAUAGAAAAAAUAAAAGAAUGAUACCCUCAAGUCCCUAGUUGACUGAUGCUGAAUGGAUUCAGAGUCGUUAUGACCAACUGAAUUUGAUU